rnacentral:misc_RNA from 1 species
UACGGAGGGUGCAAGCGUUCUCCGGAUUUAUUGGGUCUAACGGGUGCGUAGGCGGCCCGUUAAGUCAGCGGUGAAAUCCCACGGCUCACCCGUGGAACUGCCGUUGAUACUGGCGGGCUUGAGUUCGGUCGAGGCGGGCGGAACUGGUGGUGUAGCGGUGAAAUGCUUAGAUACCGCCAAGAACCCCGAUUGCGAGGGCAGCUCGCUGGGCCGAAACUGACGCUGAGGCACGAAAGCGUGGGGAGCGAACAGG